rnacentral:rRNA from 1 species
UACGUAGGGGGCAAGCGUUGUCCGGAAUCACUGGGCGUAAAGCGCGCGCAGGCGGCGAUCUGCGUCUGGGGUGAAAGCCCGGAGCUCAACUCCGGGAUUGCCUUGGAUACGGGGUCGCUUGAGGAUCGGAGAGGCAAGGGGAAUUCCACGUGUAGCGGUGAAAUGCGUAGAGAUGUGGAGGAACACCAGUGGCGAAGGCGGCUCACUGGCCCGGUACUGACGCUGAGGUGCGAAAGCGUGGGGAGCAAACAGG